rnacentral:tRNA from 1 species
GGAGGGGUACUCAAGAGGUUAAGAGGGCGGUUUGCUAAACCGCUAGUAGGCGAAUAGCCUAGCGUGGGUUCGAAUCCCACCCCCUCCGCCA